UACGGAGGGUGCAAGCGUUAUCCGGAUUCACUGGGUUUAAAGGGUGCGUAGGCGGGCAGGUAAGUCCGUGGUGAAAUCUCUGAGCUUAACUCAGAAACUGCCAUGGAUACUAUUUGUCUUGAAUAUUGUGGAGGUAAGCGGAAUAUGUCAUGUAGCAGUGAAAUGCUUAGAUAUGACAUAGAACACCAAUUGCGAAGGCAGCUUACUACACAGUUAUUGACGCUGAGGCACGAAAGCGUGGGGAUCAAACAGG
rnacentral:rRNA from 1 species